CAAGAUAUAGCUUAAAUAAAGCACCUAGUUUACACCUAGAAGA
rnacentral:tRNA from 1 species